AUGAAGGAGGAGAAUUACAGAGCAGCGCCAGCGUUGGGGAAACAUGCUCAACUUCCAGCAGUCAUUCCCGCUCGCCUCCUUUCUCUUUGCUCGAGGUCUUCGGUUCAGGCUCCACAACUGAUUGAUGCUGUUUUCCUGUUAGUGUCUCUUUUUCAUCAUGCACGAUCCUCCAUAGUGAUGGAAUGGAGACAGCUUCUCAGAGAAAGCACAGCUUUGGAAGCUUCAGCCAGACACCGUACAAGGGACAGGGGAGACUGAGAUGAAGAAAACUCGGUGCUUCUUCCCAAGGCACUCGCAGUCUCGGAGAAGACAGAUGUGUACUCACACAGAUGCAUAUGCUACAGCACUGUGUGAUGAUGCUAUACAUGCACAAAGUGACCAGGAACAGAGCGGCCAUCCCUGGCGACUCAGGGGAGGCAUCACACGAGAGAUGACUUUAGAACCGGGCCUUUAAAGGAAACACAGGAUCUCUGCAGCAGUCAAGAAGGGGAAGAGAAGACUUGGUAUUAAAAAAUCAUGGGUUCAGGACAUACUGCCCCACAAUAUGGCACUUUGGCAUGUUGAAUAUUUUAAGCUAGAGGAAUUUGAGAAAACAGCAGAAGCAGGAAGGUCCCCUGAGGCGGUCCCCUGAAGUAGUCAUAAGCUUUGGGAAGGACUCUGACCUUCUGAAGCACGUCAUAAGACCCUCGUGUGAGAGUUGCCCUUCCUGUAGCUGGAGGAAAGGGGCAUCCUUAUCUCUCAAGACAAAAGGAGACAGAGAGGAAUCCAGAAAAACAAGCCUUGCUAAGCUUCCCCGGUUCACCACACUUACAUUGCACUCUUUGCCCUGUGAUAUUUUUCCAUGACUUUCCCCUCCUUAUCAAACCUAUUAUUAAAAACACUCCCA
rnacentral:lncRNA from 1 species